GUCCAUGGCAACAGAACUCUAGACGAUCACCUGCUUCAACUGCUCUGCUGCUUUAAGGAUGAGUCAGCCUGGUAAAUACAGCACCAACAAAGUACUCAUUGGUAACUGGGCGGAGGAGAGAUUACAUUUCACUAGGGACUGCGAGACGGCGAACAGCAGCUACAGGAUGGACUACACGCCCCACAGGUCACACAAGCCCAAUGUUGUCACGUGCCAAAGGGCUCUUCGUAGCUCAGAGGGUCUUCCCUUAAGGCAGUUAUUUUCUCAUCAUGAUGUCCCCUCCUCCCACUGUCUGGUGACACUCUAUGAUGAGUCGUACGGGCGGCAGGCCUCCUCCUCUCUGCCCA
rnacentral:lncRNA from 1 species